GCUGGGCGGUGGACAGCCUUUGCCCACCCGGGUUGGCAACAAAAGGACCAACAUCCGGCAGAGCGGCUGUCAGUUUCGGUACGGUCGCGGAGCACGUCUAACACGCGCGUUUUUUAUCGUCGGUCUGAUAAGUGUCCAAGCAGAUUUUUGCAAAGAUGAACCGUGCCAUCGCUGUGCUGUGUCUGGUGGUUGUCGCUGCCUCGCUGAGCGAGGGAACGUUCGAUGUGCUGCUGCAGAAGAAGAAGGCGUUCCUCGGCAAGCUGCUGCACAAGGACGAAGGAGCGGGCUACGGAGGCCAUUCCGGCUACGGCGGCCAUUCGGGAGCAGUAGGAUACCAAGCCACUGUUGCCGUCGCUCCAGUCCACUACGCUCCUGCUCCAGUAGCGUACGCCGCUCCUGCUCCGGCUCCAGUUCAGUACGCCGCUCCUGCUCCGGCUCCAGUUCAGUACUCUGCUCCAGCACCUGCCCCAGUGCACUACGCUCCUGCCCCUGCUCCGGCUCCAGUCCAGUACUCUGCCCCUGCCCCAGCUCCAGUGCAGUACUCUGCCCCUGCCCCGGCUCCAGUGCAAUACUCUGCCCCUGCCCCGGCUCCAGUGCAGUACUCUGCCCCUGCCCCGGCUCCAGUGCAGUACUCUGCCCCUGCCCCGGCUCCAGUGCAGUAUGCUGCCCCAGCACCAGCCCCAGUCCCAGCACCAGUCUAUGGACCGCCAGCAGCACCAGCACCGUACCCAGGAUGUGAUCACGCACGCGGUGUCUCCCUACAUCACUAAAUUAAGGCGCAACGCUAUGCAGCACUGGCUAGGCUAGGUGUACGGACGAAAGGAACUAUUUAUCGAGCACCUACAGAAGAGCGUUUCAUUUGCGGAUGCGAUCGGCGAUCGUGCCGUGUUUUUGGUCAUCGAUUUCAACUCAACCAGCCACGUUCGGUUCUCGUUGUUUCAUAAGUUCUCGAGAAUGGAUUGCUUGGCUUACAAUACAGACAGCAGCAGAGCUAAAGAUGCCCCCACGAUUCCUUGAAGAUGCCAGUAACGAGUGUGUUUAGUUGUAGAAUGUACUAGAGAAAGGGGCGGAUAGAUUGUAGAAGGAAGAAUGUCCCAUUACACUUUGUAGCACAUGACAAAGAAUAAAGUUACGUUUACGGAAAUGAA